rnacentral:rRNA from 1 species
AUUGAACGCUGGCGGCAUGCCUUACACAUGCAAGUCGAACGGCAGCGGACCUUCGGGUGCCGGCGAGUGGCGAACGGGUGAGUAAUGCAUCGGAACGUACCUUUCAGUGGGGGAUAACGUAGCGAAAGUUACGCUAAUACCGCAUAUUCUGUGAGCAGGAAAGCAGGGGAGCGCACGACCGUGCGCUGAUUGAGCGGCCGAUGUCAGAUUAGCUAGUUGGUGAGGUAAAGGCUCACCAAGGCGACGAUCUGUAGCGGUUCUGAGAGGAUGAUCCGCCACACUGGAACUGAGACACGGUCCAGACUCCUACGGGAGGCAGCAGUGGGGAAUUUUGGACAAUGGGGGCAACCCUGAUCCAGCCAUGCCGCGUGAGUGAAGAAGGCCUUCGGGUUGUAAAGCUCUUUCGGCCGGGAAGAAAUCGCACGGGCUAAUACCCUGUGUGGAUGACGGUACCGGAAUAAGAAGCACCGGCUAACUACGUGCCAGCCGCCGCAGUAACAC